AGGUUGAUUUCUAUCUCUUGAUUCUUGGAGAUCAUUCUGUUGAUCAGGUUUAUAUCCAUCUUGGUCCUGACGAAAUUAAACAGCUGGAACUUGUUUAUGAAUGUACUAAUCUUUGGAGAUAUAGCGUAACGUUCGCUGGUGACCCAAUCAAAAGCCGUUUCAAGUAUAAAUACGGGUUUAACAGAAGAGGACAUGACUUUACGAUACCGUACGUUGGCCGGAUUGGAGUGCUUAGCAAAGAUCCUUCAAAGUGUGUAGAAUCCAGUGAAAAGCAAGUAGAGUCACAAGCUCAGUUUGAUGUAUUUCAUUUUCCACAAGACAAGAGUUAUUUGUAUGACACAGUUCCCGAGGCUACAAUCUUCUACCUGAAGUGGUUGUUGCCAUUUGUUUUUCCUUCAUCUAUUUCUGAAACACUUACCCAUAUCGAACGUUUCCAGUUCAAUACGUUCAGCAGAAAACACGUGAAAGAAUGUGUCAAUUGGAUUGUGGAACGUGCUUCAGGC